CAUCUAGGCGGUCAAUCAAGUCGAAGGUGAAAACUUGUGGCUCAACCAUAAGCUUGCCUACGAAACUGAUUAACUAGAGUACUGGAGAGGUGGACGGAACACACGAGUAGAGGUGAAAUUCGUAGAUAUGUGUAGGAAUGCCGAUGAUGAAGAUAGUUCACUGGACAGAAACUGACGCUGAAGUGCGAAAGCUAGGGGAGCAAACA
rnacentral:rRNA from 1 species